GAGAAAUACGCCUGUGAAAAAUGUGUGGGAAAUCUUCUGUCACAAAAGAAGCUUCAUUAUCCCCUUGUAUUUGCCAUUUUUCUCAGUGACUUUUCAUUUUAUAUUUUCACUCUCAGGGACAGGAGCCUUAAUGCAAGCAAAUUUACUCAUCAGUACUGUCAUGGGCUCCACAAAACCUGCCCUGAGAGAAAGAAUCUAUUACGUCUCUUUCCACAAGUUUACUGUUUGGUAUUCCUAAUUCUUGUUGCAUACUUUCAUCCAAGCUGUGGGUGCUUUACACAGUUUUCAUUUUCAUCAUUGAAACUUGGAGAUCUGACAACAUUUUAGUGUUUUCUCACCGGGAGCUUAGGAGAGUCUGGUCAGUAGAGAUCUAAUAUUAGAAUGUUUUUAUGAUAUAACUGAGCUUGGGAAGAAUGAAAGGCGGUAGAAAGCCGGCACAGGUGACUACACCUGCGAGAUGGGAAAAUGGCAGCUAACAAACCCUGGUCAUUCUUGACCCAUUGUUAAUUUGAAUGUCUAUGUUUUUUUUUUUUCUUUUUUUUUCUUUUCCUGAAAGUGGUAUGUCUCACAGUCACUUGGCUAAAAUCUACUUCGCUCUCUCCCUACCCACCUACAAAAGGCUUCAGAGGGACAUGCCUAUGGAUUUCCAUAUUGAUGUAAUGAGCUGAUCACAAAGAGAUUAGGGCCAUAUUUGACUAUAUUGCAAAAUCAACUGCAAGACAAAUUUCAACUGCUUGAACUGAUGUCAAGCAGUGAAGUUAGCCAAGUCACAUCCGCAUGGUUAGCCAAACCACACCAAGGUUGUUCCCCAGGGCUAGAAGCUGGUUACAUUCAACCCUCAUAAACACAAUGAACAUAUUUCUAGAUUUAUUUUAGCUGUGGCUGAGUUCAUGGGGAGAAAAGAAAAAUUAAAAAAACACGAGAAAACAUUCCUUGUGAAAUCCCACAGAAGACCUAACUGACUCCUUCUUUAACUUUGGUAUGGAAGAUAGCAUUUU
rnacentral:lncRNA from 1 species